CAGAAGGCACACCCGGAGAACUGAAACAUCUUAGUACCCGGAGGAAGAGAAAGAAAAUUCGAUUCCCUUAGUAGCGGCGAGCGAAACGGGAAGAGCCCAAACCAACAAGCUUGCUUGUUGGGGUUGUAGGACACUCUAUACGGAGUUACAAAGGACGACAUUAGACGAAUCAUCUGGAAAGAUGAAUCAAAGAAGGUAAUAAUCCUGUAGUCGAAAAUGUUGUCUCUCUUGAGUGGAUCCUGAGUACGACGGAGCACGUGAAAUUCCGUCGGAAUCUGGGAGGACCAUCUCCUAAGGCUAAAUACUCUCUAGUGACCGAUAGUGAACCAGUACCGUGAGGGAAAGGUGAAAAGCACCCCGGAAGGGGAGUGAAAUAGAACCUGAAACCGUGUGCUUACAAGUAGUCAGAGCCCGUUAAUGGGUGAUGGCGUGCCUUUUGUAGAAUGAACCGGCGAGUUACGAUUUGAUGCAAGGUUAAGCAGUAAAUGUGGAGCCGUAGCGAAAGCGAGUCUGAAUAGGGCGUUUAGUAUUUGGUCGUAGACCCGAAACCAGGUGAUCUACCCUUGGUCAGGUUGAAGUUCAGGUAACACUGAAUGGAGGACCGAACCGACUUACGUUGAAAAGUGAGCGGAUGAACUGAGGGUAGCGGAGAAAUUCCAAUCGAACCUGGAGAUAGCUGGUUCUCUCCGAAAUAGCUUUAGGGCUAGCCUCAAGUGAUGAUUAUUGGAGGUAGAGCACUGUUUGGACGAGGGGCCCCUCUCGGGUUACCGAAUUCAGACAAACUCCGAAUGCCAAUUAAUUUAACUUGGGAGUC
rnacentral:rRNA from 1 species